CAGCCGCCACGGUAAUACGUAGGGUGCAAGCGUUAUCCGGAAUUAUUGGGCGUAAAGAGCUCGUAGGCGGUUUGUCGCGUCUGCUGUGAAAACUGGAGGCUCAACCUCCAGCCUGCAGUGGGUACGGGCAGACUAGAGUGCGGUAGGGGAGAUUGGAAUUCCUGGUGUAGCGGUGGAAUGCGCAGAUAUCAGGAGGAACACCGAUGGCGAAGGCAGAUCUCUGGGCCGUAACUGACGCUGAGGCUCGAAAGCGUGGGGAGCAAACAGGAUUAGAUACCCCGGUAGUCCCUGUCUCUUAUAC
rnacentral:rRNA from 1 species